CAGGAAUUCAUACAGAAGAAUGACAGAAGUUGAACUGGAGAGGUGUGACCAAUGUUACCAUGGCAACACUGAGUGCUGGGAUGUGAGGAGGCAGGUCGACACCAUGAAGUGUGAGACAGGGAGCUGGCAGAAGCUAGAAGGAAUUUGGUAACAGCAAGGCCUUUUAAAAGCAAAUAUUUCUCCUUGGAAGAAAUGUUUUCCUGACGGGGCAUUUUUUCUCCAAAAAUGGAAGUUCCACUCUACUGAGUAUGGAUGCUGCCAUUUGUGUAGUGAAGUCCAGGACCCAUUUCCUCUGAAGGAAGAUACAAAGAAAUUGUUUCAAGUCAAAAUAGGAGAUCAGAAAGAAUCUCACCUAAUAGAGUUCCAUCAA